CGAAAAAGGAAAAGGAGAGAGAGAGAGCAAACAGGAGAAUGAGGGGUGCUUUGUUUUGGAACUUUCCAGUUCUGUGGGGGAAAAUUAGCAUGAGGCUGGUUGCCUGACCUGCAGCACCGCUUUAUGCGCAUGAGUAAUUAUUAUUUUUGCUAUUAUUUCUCUUUGUCUCCCUGGACGACUAAAAAGGCGCUGCGUAAGCAGUAAACCCCGGGAUAAGGUCUAUAACGUGGUCCAAAGAACAGAUUUUCAGUCCCGGGGGUUGAAGGUAAACUCCGGAAAGCAGAGCCACAUUGAGCUGUUGCCACAGCAUGCGAGAACCGAAGGACCUCCGUGGGUCACCUCGGGACUGGAGGCCAAGGAAACGCAGCGUUGGAUGCUGGGGCGGGGCAUCAAGGCCAGACUUGGUUCCUUAAACUUUGACUUGAGUCUAAGUGCUGGCGAAGGAGCACUCGAUCCCAAAAUACCGGGGCUUGGAGUUGUGCAGAUGGCGCUCCGCUGGGGCAUCGUGUCCGUCGGCCUCAUCUCCAGCGACUUCACCACUGUGCCGGGCCCGCUGCCCCGCUCCGACCACCAGGUCUGCUCCCCUCCGGGUCCUGGGGGAACGGGCUCCUGGGUCCGGGUAGCGAGGAUCCUACACCACGGCUGUUUCCCCGCUCCCUCCUUUUCUUCUCCACCUCAGUCCUGUAGCCCUAGCCCUGGAGGGUCGGAGGGUCUUAUCCUCCGGCCGGCCGCACCUGCUCCAGCCCCGUGAGUCUGAUCCCGGCGUCCUCCGGGUGGUGGCGGUAGCGGCCCGCGAGCUGAGCCGGGCGCAGGGGUUUGCGCGGAAACACGGCGUCCCCAAGGCGUACGGCUCCCCUGAGGAGCUGGCCAAGGGCCCGAAUGUGGGUGAGUGGCGAGGGUGGCCGGCGCGUCGGCUCCGGGCUGCCCCGUAGGAAACGUGAGGCUCCCCGGGCUAGGGGCCCGCCCGAGGGGCACGAACGGAUUUGAUCUGUCGCGAUAUUCAAUCGAGUCAACCUUCCGCAGUAAGAACCAAGCUUAAAUUUCUAAAGAAGCCAAGGAAUCUGUCAAGGGUUUAAUUUUAGUGUACAUGCCGCUCAAGCGGGUACUCUGGUAAGGGUUUAAUUAACCCCUGCAAGCCAGGCGCGAUGGUUCACGCUGGGAAUACCAGGUAUUCCGGAGGCUGAGGCAGGAGAGUGGCUCGAGCCCAGGAGUUCAAGACCACCCUGGGUGUUGUGUCCAGCGGGGAGAGGUAGGGGGGUAGGGGUCCCCAAUGACCCUCCACCUCUCUUCGUGUCCUUCGUGUCCUUCGUGCUAUUACUCCAGGGAGGAAUCCAGAAGUGGGGCUCUUAGCGGAAAAUGGGAGAAUCGAGACUGAUGUAGUGCAAAGUGAGUCUAUUUUAGAAGUGUGGCAAAUGGCAAGGAAACAGGAGUAACGCUAUCUUUUUUUUUUUUUUUUUUUGCUACCGGGGAUCGUACUCGAGUCCUUGUGCUUGCGAGGCAGGCGGUAGAACCACUGAACUAAAUCCCCGGCCCAAGUAACACUAUCUUAACAGAGUGGUGCUGCAAGAAAGAAGUUUGAGGUGUACUUCAUACUUAGAGUAUCAGGGAUCGAACACGGGACCUUGUGCUUGCAAGGCAGGCAUGGCGCCACUGAGCUAAGUCAUCUUCUACCUUAGAAGUGGCCUAUAUUGGCACUCAGCACCCUCAGCACAAGGCUUCGGUGCUGAUGUCUCUGGCAGUAGGCAAGGCUGUCCUGUGUGAGAAGCCCAUGGGUAUGAACGCUCCAGAAGUUCGCAAGAUGGUCUCAGAGGCCCAAACCCAAGGUCUCUUCCUUAUGGAGGUGAGGGCCUCAACCAACAUUCACUGUAGCACUGCUUGCCAUUACUAAACAUGGCCACCAGCAGACGUUUUUGGAGAACCAAGGCAUCUUCCACAGUCGAGAUGGCCACAGGAAUGGAGCAGGGUCAGUUGGGGUAUAGUUGAAUGUACUGGCCACACCCAUUGAGAGCACAAACCAAAGUUCAGUGCUUGCCACUCUAACAGGCCAUGACUCAAAGACAAGUUGUUGAGGCAAAGAGAAAGAGUUGUUUGGAAAGCUAGCAAACUAAAGAAGAUGGAAGCUGACAUCAACCAAGACCAUCUUGUUUAGAGGUUGCAGGGAAAAGGCUUAUCUAGGGAGUUUUGUGGAAGUAGAUCCCAGUAGGAGGGCACCAAGGUAUUUCCAAAUUCCAGAGUAGUUACAGAUUAUGGGGUCUGCUGUUUUGUGUAGGUAACUGGAUGCUCUGGGUUCUGUAAAUCUAAAGAAAGUUACUGACCCAUAAGCACAGCAUUUAGGGAGGCUGAGAUGGGGGAUCAAGUCCUGCCCAGGCAACACAACAAGACUCUGUCUUAAAUUUGUAAGAAGAGUAGGGUUGGGUGUAACUCCAUUGGAGAGAGCCCCUGGUCAAUCCCUACCACAAGGAAGAACAGAGAAAGGAAAGGAGAGAGGGAGGAAGAAAGAAAGGGAGGGAAAAAGAAAGGGAGAAAGGAGGAAAGAAAAAAGAAAUUGAGUAGGAAGUCUCACGGCUCGUCUUUUUAGUUCCUUUUCUGAGGACUAGCUAAUUCUCCAGUGUACCUGGAUAUCAAAGGUAUCCUUUCCAUGGGGAAGAGGGGAAGAUAGCAAAAGGCAACUUUUCUCUGGAAGACCAGGGAAGAUAAAGAAAAGCAAUUUUUCCCGAGGACGGAGGACGGAGGAGUCACAUUCCCUGGAGAAGUUUUUAACCCAUUGUGUAGAGGUGUCACCACAGCAAAGCUAAAACUAAUAGUGUAUCUUCCAGCUGUGUGACUCCUAAAAUCAGUGAUGGUUUGUUUGUUUUUUGAGACAAAAUCUCACUAUACGGUUUAGGCUGGUCUUGAACUCAUAGUGAUCCACCUGCCUCAGUGCCAUGCCCAGUAAAAUUAGUGAUUGGGGGGUGGGUGUUUUUUGGGGAGGUUUUUUGGUACCAGGUACUGAACUCGGGACCUUGCCCUUUCGAGGCAGGCAGCAGAACCACUGAGCUAAAUUCCCAG
rnacentral:lncRNA from 1 species